rnacentral:tRNA from 1 species
GCUGCUGUAGCUCAGUAGGUAGAGCGCAUCCUUGGUAAGGAUGAGGUCACCGGUUCAAAUCCGGUCAGCAGCU